GAUGAACGCUGGCGGCGUGCCUAAUACAUGCAAGUCGAGCGAACAGACGAGGAGCUUGCUCCUCUGACGUUAGCGGCGGACGGGUGAGUAACACGUGGAUAACCUACCUAUAAGACUGGGAUAACUUCGGGAAACCGGAGCUAAUACCGGAUAAUAUAUUGAACCGCAUGGUUCAAUAGUGAAAGACGGUUUUGCUGUCUCUUAUAGAUGGAUCCGCGCCGCAUUAGCUAGUUGGUAAGGUAACGGCUUACCAAGGCAACGAUGCGUAGCCGACCUGAGAGGGUGAUCGGCCACACUGGAACUGAGACACGGUCCAGGAUCCUACGGGAGGCAGCAGUAGGGAAUCUUCCGCAAUGGGCGAAAGCUUGACGGAGCAACGCCGCGUGAGUGAUGAAGGUCUUCGGAUCGUAAAAUUCUGUUAUUAGGGAAGAACAAAUGUGUAAGUAACUAUGCACGGCUUGACGGUACCUAAUCAGAAAGCCACGGCUAACUACGUG
rnacentral:rRNA from 1 species